GUGCCCAGCAGCCGCGGUAAUACCGGCAGCCCGAGUGAUGACCGAUCUUAUUGGGCCUAAAGCGUCCGUAGCUGGCUGCGCAAGUCCGUCGGGAAAUCCACUCGCUUAACGAGUGGGCGUCCGGCGGAAACUGUGCGGCUUGGAACCGGAAGAUCCAAGGGGUACGUCCGGGGUAGGAGUGAAAUCCCGUAAUCCUGGACGGACCACCGAUGGCGAAAGCACCUUGGAAGGACGGAUCCGACAGUGAGGGACGAAAGCUAGGGUCUCGAACCGGAUUAGAUACCCGGGUAGUCC
rnacentral:rRNA from 1 species